GACGAACGCUGGCGGCGUGCCUAACACAUGCAAGUCGAACGGAACUGUUUUGAAAGAUUUCUUCGGAAUGAAUUUGAUUUAGUUUAGUGGCGGACGGGUGAGUAACGCGUGAGUAACCUGCCUUCAAGAGGGGAAUAACAUUCUGAAAAGAAUGCUAAUACCGCAUGACAUAUCGGAACCACAUGGUUUUGAUAUCAAAGAUUUUAUCGCUUGAAGAUGGACUCGCGUCCGAUUAGUUAGUUGGUGAGGUAACGGCUCACCAAGACCGCGAUCGGUAGCCGGACUGAGAGGUUGAACGGCCACAUUGGGACUGAGACACGGCCCAGACUCCUACGGGAGGCAGCAGUGGGGGGUAUUGCGCAAUGGGGGCAACCCUGACGCAGCAACGCCGCGUGAAGGAUGAAGGUUUUCGGAUUGUAAACUUCUUUUAUUAAGGACGAAAAAUGACGGUACUUAAUGAAUAAGCUCCGGCUAACUACGUG
rnacentral:rRNA from 1 species